AACGAACGCUGGCGGCAGGCCUAACACAUGCAAGUCGAGCGGACCCUUCGGGGUUAGCGGCGGACGGGUGAGUAACGCGUGGGAAUAUGCCCUUCUCUACGGAAUAGUCCUGGGUAACUGGGGGUAAUACCGUAUACGCCCUUUGGGGGAAAGAUUUAUCGGGGAAGGAUUAGCCCGCGUUGGAUUAGGUAGUUGGUGGGGUAAUGGCCUACCAAGCCGACGAUCCAUAGCUGGUUUGAGAGGAUGAUCAGCCACACUGGGACUGGGACACGGCCCAGACUCCUACGGGAGGCAGCAGUGGGGAAUCUUAGACAAUGGGGGCAACCCUGAUCUAGCCAGGCCGGGAGAGUGAUGAAGGCCUUAGGGUUGGAAAGCGCUUUCGGCUGGGAAGAUAAUGACGGUACCAGCAGAAGAAGCCCCGGCUAACUCCGU
rnacentral:rRNA from 1 species